rnacentral:tRNA from 1 species
GCGGGUGUAGCUCAGUGGUAGAGCACAACCUUGCCAAGGUUGGGGUCGUGGGUUCGAAUCCCAUCGCCCGCUCCA